rnacentral:rRNA from 1 species
UAUUGGUCAAUGGUCGGGAGACUGAACCAGCCAAGCCGCGUGAGGGAGGAAGGUACAGAGUAUCGUAAACCUCUUUUGUCAGGGAACAAAGGCGGGGACGUGUCCCCGGAUGAGUGUACCUGAAGAAAAAGCAUCGGCUAACUCCGCGCCAGCAGCCGCGGUAAUACGGAGGAUGCGAGCGUUAUCCGGUUUUAUUGGGUUUAAAGGGUGCGCAGGAGGUGUGUUAAGUCAGCGGUCAAAGCCCGGGGCUCAACCCGGGCCCGCCGUUGAAACUGGCAGUCUCGAGUUGGAGAGAAGUAUGCGGAAUGCGCGGUGUAGCGGUGAAAUGCAUAGAUAUCGCGCAGAACUCCGAUUGCGAAGGCAGCCUUCCGGCGCCCUACUGACGCUGAGGCACGAAAGUGCGGGGAUCG